AGUAUAAUCUACCCUUGCGGGUGAGGGAAAUACCGCUCCGCGGUGUGAUAUACGCCUCCGGCAUGUGAGAUCGCUG
rnacentral:sRNA from 10 species